GACGAACGCUGGCGGCGUGCUUAACACAUGCAAGUCGAACGGGAUUUAGUAAACAGAAACCUCGGUGGAAGAUUACUAAUGAGAGUGGCGAACGGGUGAGUAACGCGUGAGCAACCUGCCUAUGACAGUGGGAUAGCCUCGGGAAACCGGGAUUAAUACCGCAUAAAAUCGUAGAAACACAUGUUUUAACGGUCAAAGAUUUAUCGGUCAUAGAUGGGCUCGCGUCUGAUUAGCUAGUUGGUGAGAUAACAGCCCACCAAGGCGACGAUCAGUAGCCGGUAUGAGAGGAUGAACGGACACAUUGGAACUGAGACACGGUCCAAACUCCUACGGGAGGCAGCAGUGGGGAAUAUUGCACAAUGGGGGAAACCCUGAUGCAGCGACGCCGCGUGAACGAAGAAGGUAUUCGUAUCGUAAAGUUCUGUCCUAUGGGAAGAUAAUGACAGUACCAUAGAAGAAAGCUCCGGCUAAAUACGUG
rnacentral:rRNA from 1 species